rnacentral:rRNA from 1 species
UACAGAGGUCUCAAGCGUUGUUCGGAUUCAUUGGGCGUAAAGGGUGUGUAGGUGGCGCGCUAAGUCGGGUGUGAAAUUUCGGAGCUUAACUCCGAAACUGCAUUCGAUACUGGCGUGCUUGAGGACUGGAGAGGAGACUGGAAUUUACGGUGUAGCAGUGAAAUGCGUAGAUAUCGUAAGGAAGACCAGUGGCGAAGGCGGGUCUCUGGACAGUUCCUGACACUGAGGCACGAAGGCCAGGGGGAGCAAACAAG